AUCGCUUCUCGGCCUUUUGGCUAAGAUCAAGUGUAGUAUCUGUUCUUAUCAGUUUAAUAUCUGAUACGUCCUCUAUCCGAGGACAAUAUAUUAAAUGGAUUUUUGGAGCAGGGAGAUGGAAUAGGAGCUUGCUCCGUCCACUCCACGCAUCGACCUGGUAUUGCAGUAGAUAACAAAGAACAACAAAGCUUAA